rnacentral:rRNA from 1 species
UACAGAGGUCUCAAGCGUUGUUCGGAUUCAUUGGGCGUAAAGGGUGCGUAGGCGGCGCGGUAAGUCGGGUGUGAAAUCUCGGGGCUUAACUCCGAAACUGCAUUCGAUACUGCCGUGCUUGAGGACUGGAGAGGAGACUGGAAUUUACGGUGUAGCGGUGAAAUGCGUAGAUAUGCGGAGGAACACCGAUGGCGAAGGCAGUCCCCUGGGCCUGUACUGACGCUCAUGCACGAAAGCGUGGGGAGCAAACAGG